rnacentral:tRNA from 1 species
GGGGAUAUAGCUCAGUUGGCUAGAGCGCGGGCUUUGCAAGCCUGAGGUCAGGGGUUCAAAUCCCCUUAUCUCCAC